GACGAACGCUGGCGGCGCGCUUAACACAUGCAAGUCGAACGGAAAGGCCCUGCUUUUGUGGGGUGCUCGAGUGGCGAACGGGUGAGUAACACGUGAGUAACCUGCCCUUGACUUUGGGAUAACUUCAGGAAACUGGGGCUAAUACCGGAUAGGAGCUCCUGCUGCAUGGUGGGGGUUGGAAAGUUUCGGCGGUUGGGGAUGGACUCGCGGCUUAUCAGCUUGUUGGUGGGGUAGUGGCUUACCAAGGCUUUGACGGGUAGCCGGCCUGAGAGGGUGACCGGCCACAUUGGGACUGAGAUACGGCCCAGACUCCUACGGGAGGCAGCAGUGGGGAAUAUUGCACAAUGGGCGGAAGCCUGAUGCAGCAACGCCGCGUGCGGGAUGACGGCCUUCGGGUUGUAAACCGCUUUCGCCUGUGACGAAGCGUGAGUGACGGUAAUGGGUAAAGAAGCACCGGCUAACUACGUGCCAGCAGCCGCGGUGAUACGUAGGGUGCGAGCGUUGUCCGGAUUUAUUGGGCGUAAAGGGCUCGUAGGUGGUUGAUCGCGUCGGAAGUGUAAUCUUGGGGCUUAACCCUGAGCGUGCUUUCGAUACGGGUUGACUUGAGGAAAGGUAGGGGAGAAUGGAAUUCCUGGUGGAGCGGUGGAAUGCGCAGAUAUCAGGAGGAACACCAGUGGCGAAGGCGGUUCUCUGGGCCUUUCCUGACGCUGAGGAGCGAAAGCGUGGGGAGCGAACAGGCUUAGAUACCCUGGUAGUCCACGCUGUAAACGGUGGGUACUAGGUGUGGGGUCCAUUCCACGGGUUCCGUGCCGUAGCUAACGCUUUAAGUACCCCGCCUGGGGAGUACGGCCGCAAGGCUAAAACUCAAAGGAAUUGACGGGGCCCCGCACAAGCGGCGGAGCAUGCGGAUUAAUUCGAUGCAACGCGUAGAACCUUACCUGGGUUUGACAUGGAUCGGGAGUGCUCAGAGAUGGGUGUGCCUCUUUUGGGGUCGGUUCACAGGUGGUGCAUGGCUGUCGUCAGCUCGUGUCGUGAGAUGUUGGGUUAAGUCCCGCAACGAGCGCAACCCUUGUUCACUGUUGCCAGCACGUUAUGGUGGGGACUCAGUGGAGACCGCCGGGGUCAACUCGGAGGAAGGUGGGGAUGACGUCAAGUCAUCAUGCCCCUUAUGUCCAGGGCCUCACGCAUGCUACAAUGGCUGGUACAGAGAGUGGCGAGCCUGUGAGGGUGAGCGAAUCUCGGAAAGCCGGUCUCAGUUCGGAUUGGGGUCUGCAACUCGACCUCAUGAAGUCGGAGUCGCUAGUAAUCGCAGAUCAGCAACGCUGCGGUGAAUACGUUCCCGGG
rnacentral:rRNA from 1 species